AGAGUUGAUCAUGGCUCAGAACGAACGCUGGCGGCGCGUCUUAAGCAUGCAAGUCGGACGGCAAGGGUUGUGCUUGCACAACUCCUAGAGUGGCGGACUGGUGAGUAACGCGUGGGUGACCUGCCCUCGAGAUGGGGAUAGCCAUUAGAAAUAGUGGAUAAUACCGAAUACGCUCAUGACCCUGUGGGGAUAUGAGGAAAACAGGCUACGGCCUGGCUCGAGGAUGGGCCCGCGUCCCAUUAGCUAGUUGGUGAGGUAACGGCCCACCAAGGCGACGAUGGGUAUCCGGCCUGAGAGGGUGGACGGCCACACUGGGACUGAGAACGGCCCAGACUCCUACGGGAGGCAGCAGUGGGGAAUAUUGCGCAAUGGGGGAAACCCUGACGCAGCGACGCCGCGUGAGCGAAGAAGGCCUUCGGGUUGUAAAGCUCUGCUGUAAGGGACGAAUGUCUAGGGUAGUAACUGACCUUAGAAUGACGGUACCUUACCAGCAACGCCCCGGCUAACUACGUGCCAGCCGCAGC
rnacentral:rRNA from 1 species